rnacentral:rRNA from 1 species
CCUACGGGGGGCAGCAGUGAGGAAUAUUGGUCAAUGGGCGCGAGCCUGAACCAGCCAAGUAGCGUGAAGGAUGACUGCCCUAUGGGUUGUAAACUUCUUUUAUAAGGGAAUAAAGUGAUGCACGUGUGCCUUUUUGUAUGUACCUUAUGAAUAAGGAUCGGCUAACUCCGUGCCAGCAGCCGCGGUAAUACGGAGGAUCCGAGCGUUAUCCGGAUUUAUUGGGUUUAAAGGGAGCGUAGAUGGGUUGUUAAGUCAGUUGUGAAAGUUUGCGGCUCAACCGUAAAAUUGCAGUUGAGACUGGCAGCCUUGAGUACAGUUGAGGUAGGCGGAAUUCGUGGUGUAGCGGUGAAAUGCUUAGAUAUCACGAAGAACUCCGAUUGCGAAGGCAGCCUACUGGACUGCCACUGACACUGAGGCUCGAAAGUGUGGGUAUCAAACAGGAUUAGAUACCCGAGUAGUC